GAUGAACGCUGACAGAAUGCUUAACACAUGCAAGUCAACUGUGGCGGACGGGUGAGUAACGCGUAAAGAACUUGCCUCACAGUUAGGGACAACAUUUGGAAACGAAUGCUAAUACCUGAUACUGUGAGAGAGCUUUGCGUCCCCUUAGCUAGUUGGAGAGGUAACGGCUCACCAAGGCGAUGAUGGGUAGCCGGCCUGAGAGGGUGAUCGGCCACAAGGGGACGUGGACACGGGCAUUACGCCUACGGGAGGAAGGAGUGGGGAAUAUAGGACAAUGGACCAAAGUCUGAUCCAGCAAUUCGGUGUGUACGAUAAAUUUUUCGGAAGGUAAAGUGCUUUCAGUUGGGAAGCGGUACCAACAGAAGAAGUGACGGCUAAAUACGUGCCAGCAGCCGCGGUAAUAC
rnacentral:rRNA from 1 species